AAACCGUUUUUAUCCCUGCCCGAGGCUGCCUUUGCCUUUAACUACCGUCGCCUGCGAUAGGCGGUAGGACACUCCUGCUACAGGGCUGAAUCCUCACCAAACUGUCUGGCUUUUGACUGAUACGGGCAAACAAGCAGACUCGGAGACAAGAAUGACAGCGUGGCAAUGUGGCGAAACGGGUGAGGUGAUCAUCCACUUCGUAUGAGCCUUACUACUGUAGCAAAAGGCGUUUCUUCCUCUUCAGUUUAUUCCAUAAAGGUUUAUUUCGUCCUUAUUUAUUCAUUCAUUUUCUUUUCUUUCAAGCUGUUGUUGAUUUCUAAUAUUUGUUUUUCGCUAACUAGUUAGUUACCUUUUGUUAAAAAAAAAAAAGAAAAAAUCGAAAAAAAAAAAAAAACACAUGAAUAUCAGGCGCGUUUCUGAAACGUACUUUAAGCAGGAAAUUAGCCAAGCAAGCUGCUCCGCUGGUUUGAUAUUUUAAACUGGGGGGAAUGCUGGUUUAAAGUUGGACCGGCAGCAACGCGCUGCAGGGAGCAGCAAGCAAGCCAUGACGAAAGAAAGCCACCGACCCAGGUAACUCCUGCAUACAAUGGAAGCUCCAUUACGGGUUAAACUUUGCGAAUCUGAUACGGG
rnacentral:sRNA from 2 species